GUACUUGCUUCGGCAGUACAUAUACUAAAAUUGGAAAGAUACAGAGAAGAUUAGCAUGGCCCCUGCGCAAAAAAAAAAUGAAAAAUAUAAUUUUAUU